CUACGGGGUGCUGCAGUGAGGAAUAUUGCGCAAUGGGGGAAACCCUGACGCAGCGACGCCGCGUGGAUGAUGAAGGCCUUCGGGUCGUAAAAUCCUGUCAGAAGGAAAGAAGUGUAUGGUAGCUAAUAUCUGCCAUACUUGACGGUACCUUCAAAGGAAGCACCGGCUAACUCCGUGCCAGCAGCCGCGGUGAUACGGAGGGUGCAAGCGUUGUUCGGAAUUACUGGGCGUAAAGCGCGCGUAGGCGGUUUUAUAAGGCAGAUGUGAAAGUCCACGGCUCAACCAUGGAAGUGCAUUUGAAACUGUAAGACUUGAGUAUUGGAGGGGGUAGUGGAAUUCCCGGUGUAGAGGUGAAAUUCGUAGAUAUCGGGAGGAAUACCGGUGGCGAAGGCGACUAUCUGGCCAAAUACUGACGCUGAGGUGCGAAAGCGUGGGGAGCAAACAGGAUUAGAUACCCCAGUAGUC
rnacentral:rRNA from 1 species